rnacentral:rRNA from 1 species
GAUGAACGCUGGCGGCGUGCUUAACACAUGCAAGUCGAACGGAAAGGCUCCUGCUUGCAGGGGUACUCGAGUGGCGAACGGGUGAGUAACACGUGGGUGAUCUGCCCUGCACUUCGGGAUAAGCCUGGGAAACUGGGUCUAAUACCGGAUAGGACCACAUUUUGGAUGGUGUGGUGGAAAGUUUUUCGGUGUGGGAUGAGCUCGCGGCCUAUCAGCUUGUUGGUGGGGUAAUGGCCUACCAAGGCGUCGACGGGUAGCCGGCCUGAGAGGGUGUCGGCCACAUUGGGACUGAGAUACGGCCCAGACUCCUACGGGAGGCAGCAGUGGGGAAUAUUGCACAAUGGGCGCAAGCCUGAUGCAGCGACGCCGCGUGGGGGAUGACGGCCUUCGGGUUGUAAACUCCUUUCGCUAGGGACGAAGCGCAAGUGACGGUACCUGGAGAAGAAGCACCGGCUAACUACGUG